rnacentral:rRNA from 1 species
GGUUAAGCGACUAAGCGUACACGGUGGAUGCCCUGGCAGUCAGAGGCGAUGAAGGGCGUGCUAAUCUGCGAUAAGCGCCGGUAAGGUGAUAUGAACCGUUAUAACCGGCGAUACCCGAAUGGGGAAACCCAGUGUGACUCGUCACACUAUCAUUAACUGAAUCCAUAGGUUAAUGAGGCGAACCGGGGGAACUGAAACAUCUAAGUACCCCGAGGAAAAGAAAUCAACCGAGAUUCCCCCAGUAGCGGCGAGCGAACGGGGAGGAGCCCAGAGCCUGAAUCAGCAUGUGUGUUAGUGGAAGCGUCUGGAAAGGCGCGCGAUACAGGGUGACAGCCCCGUACACAAAAGCGCAUGUGCUGUGAGCUCGAUGAGUAGGGCGGGACACGUGGUAUCCUGUCUGAAUAUGGGGGGACCAUCCUCCAAGGCUAAAUACUCCUGACUGACCGAUAGUGAACCAGUACCGUGAGGGAAAGGCGAAAAGAACCCCGGCGAGGGGAGUGAAAAAGAACCUGAAACCGUGUACGUACAAGCAGUGGGAGCACAGGUUUACCUGUGUGACUGCGUACCUUUUGUAUAAUGGGUC